GCGAACGGGUGAGUAAUGUAUCGGAACGUGCCCAGUAGCGGGGGAUAACUACGCGAAAGCGUAGCUAAUACCGCAUACGCCCUACGGGGGAAAGCAGGGGAUCGCAAGACCUUGCACUAUUGGAGCGGCCGAUAUCGGAUUAGCUAGUUGGUGGGGUAACGGCUCACCAAGGCGACGAUCCGUAGCUGGUUUGAGAGGACGACCAGCCACACUGGGACUGAGACACGGCCCAGACUCCUACGGGAGGCAGCAGUGGGGAAUUUUGGACAAUGGGGGAAACCCUGAUCCAGCCAUCCCGCGUGUGCGAUGAAGGCCUUCGGGUUGUAAAGCACUUUUGGCAGGAAAGAAACGUCAUGGGCUAAUACCCCGUGAAACUGACGGUACCUGCAGAAUAAGCACCGGCUAACUACGUGCCAGCAGCCGCGGUAAUACGUAGGGUGCAAGCGUUAAUCGGAAUUACUGGGCGUAAAGCGUGCGCAGGCGGUUCGGAAAGAAAGAUGUGAAAUCCCAGAGCUUAACUUUGGAACUGCAUUUUUAACUACCGAGCUAGAGUGUGUCAGAGGGAGGUGGAAUUCCGCGUGUAGCAGUGAAAUGCGUAGAUAUGCGGAGGAACACCGAUGGCGAAGGCAGCCUCCUGGGAUAACACUGACGCUCAUGCACGAAAGCGUGGGGAGCAAACAGGAUUAG
rnacentral:rRNA from 1 species